rnacentral:tRNA from 1 species
GUAGUUCAGUUGGUUAGAAUACCGGCCUGUCACGCCGGGGGUCGCGGGUUCGAGUCCCGUCCACUCC